UUUUGGUGAACAUGAUGAUACUGCAUCCGCUACUGUUAGGAAGAGUUUAUCCUCGCCAAUCAUAUGGGCAAAACUGGAGGCGUGGAGCUUGUCAAUCACCACAGGUCCAGGGUUUGCUAGAAUAAGCUGCACAAAAUACAAGUUCUUCUAAGGCAUGGAUGCCACUGGUGUCAAUGUCAGUAACAGCUGUGCAAGAAGUACAAACACACAUCAUCAGAAAAUUAAGCUUCAUAAUAAUGACUAACUAAUAUGGACUUUGCUUG